AGAAAACAUACCUGAUUUGUAGGCAGAUUUGGCAAAUACAAACCGUCGCACGAUAAUAAAAACAGAUCUCGGGAUAUUAUCUUUCACAGAUGCCAAACUUACUUGCAGACCCCUGGUCUAUAGAAGUCUUCUCGCGUCUCUAAAGAUGAUGAUGAAGAUGAUAUUGUGGAAAUGACUCAAGAAGGAGAGAACUCUGAACCUUAUGAUUUUAUAGAAGAUGAAAACACAUUACACUCUAUUCUUGGCGGCACUCCGCAAGUUAAUUUUCUGCCAGCAGGAGGCGCUAAGAGCGGGAGAGGUAAAGGUUUCUCUGGUAAUGGCGGCAUACUGUAACAGAGCUGAUCUCAC